CCGGAACUCCACCGGAGUGAGCGGCAGUAGCGGAGUUGACGGGGGAGCUGCAGACAUCGAUCCCGCGCCAUGAGGACCCAAGCUUGGAGGGCAAGGCAUUUCUCCUUGAAUCAGGCCGCUGCCUGGAGGAGGAUGCAGUGCCAUUGAGGAACACAAGGCACAAGAGAGCAAGUGGCCACAUGAGCCUAAUUCCUUUUAUGUUGCUUCAUGUUUUUCUCUCUCCCUGUUGCUGCAGAAUACAUGAACAACAGGGGAAGCUACCUAUAGUUAAAUCGACAGCACAUGAAACACUGUCAAAUUCACAUCAAACAAAAAAAACCUGGAGAUAAUAAUGUUUUGAUGAAUCACUCCCAGUUCCAGUAAUCUUAGGUGUAACUCAUAACAACAGGCAAAAAUUUUCUGAGGGAAGUGUGCCUUGCAAUGUGACAGUCACCCCCACUUGCUCUAGUAAUAGUCAUUUCCACGUAACAAAGUAUGUAGAAAGGAAAACUGAGUCUUUGCCUGAAAUACAUAGUAACAUUUGAACCAGGCUGGAGUUGUGAAUACUCCAGGAUGUGAUUUUCAUUCUGAAGUGGAGAGAGUGAAAUGAAGAUGCUGCCAAGGAAGCAAAACACACUUGGAUCAGUGAAAACAAUUAUGUCUACCAGAGUGAGAUAAUCCUGCAGCAUAUGAAGGUAUAUGAAUUUCCCAUCACAUAACACUGACAUCUAUUAAAUGGGGGGAAGAGAUCAUCGAGAU